GUUUGGUUUGGUUUGAAGUGUGCCAGGGAACAACUAUUUGUUGUUAUAAUUGAAAUAUUUUUAGUUUUGGAAAAGGAAAGGAUGAAGAUGGAAAAUACUGAUGUGGUAUUUUCUUCUCUGUACGUUUUAGACAUACUGUUCAUUUUUUUUAUUGUCUGCACUGGUCUUGAUAUUUUAUCUAAAGAUGUAAAUUUUCAAUUUGUAGAUUUAAGGCAAAAUGUGGAUGAUUUCAGUGUAACAUUGUUUACCUUUACUCAUAUGUAAAUGACAUAUUCCAC
rnacentral:lncRNA from 1 species